UGGUAAUAUCGGCAUUUGCAUUCAUUCCAAAUAUCUCCGGAGAAGGAUUCAGCGGGAGAGUCUUUGUAUAUUCAAUAUAGCUUUGGUGAUCUCCUUCAGGAGGAACAAAGUAAAGGCCACUGGAAUCAAAUUUAUAAUCUCUGUUUGUUAUGAUUUCUGAUGAAAAGAACAUGUUCAGAACGCUACGGAGCGUACGGCGAUCCCACUCGUCAGUGACUCUGCCACCGUAGUUACAUUCCCC
rnacentral:lncRNA from 1 species